AAGAAUAAGUAGAAACGAGGGUAAGCUGCUAACUUAACUCACUAGCGGUUCAAGUCCGUUAUUAUUCUUA
rnacentral:tRNA from 1 species